rnacentral:rRNA from 1 species
CGGCGGACGGGGGAGUAACGCGUGGGUAACCGUGCCUCAUACAGGGGGAUAACAGUUGGAAACGGCUGCUAAUACCGCAUAAGCGCACAGUACCGCAUGGUACCGUGUGAAAAACUCCGGUGGUAUGAGAUGGACCCGCGUCUGAUUAGCUAGUUGGUGGGGUAACGGCCUACCAAGCCGACGAUCAGUAGCCGACCUGAGAGGGUGACCGGCCACAUUGGGACUGAGACACGGCCCAA